CGUACACUCCUACGGGAGGCAGCAGUGGGGAAUAUUGGACAAUGGGCGCAAGCCUGAUCCAGCCAUGCCGCGUGAGUGAUGAAGGCCCUAGGGUUGUAAAGCUCUUUCACCGGUGAAGAUAAUGACGGUAACCGGAGAAGAAGCCCCGGCUAACUUCGUGCCAGCAGCCGCGGUAAUACGAAGGGGGCUAGCGUUGUUCGGAUUUACUGGGCGUAAAGCGCACGUAGGCGGACUAUUAAGUCAGGGGUGAAAUCCCGGGGCUCAACCCCGGAACUGUCUUUGAUACUGGUAGUCUUGAGUUCGAGAGAGGUGAGUGGAAUUCCGAGUGUAGAGGUGAAAUUCGUAGAUAUUCGGAGGAACACCAGUGGCGAAGGCGGCUCACUGGCUCGAUACUGACGCUGAGGUGCGAAAGCGUGGGGAGCAAACAGGAUUAGAAACCCCUGUAGUCCC
rnacentral:rRNA from 1 species